AACGAACGCUGGCGGCAUGCCUAACACAUGCAAGUCGAACGAGACCUUCGGGUCUAGUGGCGCACGGGUGCGUAACGCGUGGGAACCUGCCCUUAGGUUCGGAAUAACUCCCCGAAAGGGGUGCUAAUACCGGAUAAUUUCUUCGGACCAAAGAUUUAUCGCCUUUGGAUGGGCCCGCGUUGGAUUAGCUAGUUGGUAGGGUAAAAGCCUACCAAGGCGACGAUCCAUAGCUGGUCUGAGAGGAUGAUCAGCCACACUGGGACUGAGACACGGCCCAGACUCCUACGGGAGGCAGCAGUGGGGAAUAUUGGACAAUGGGCGAAAGACUGAUCCAGCAAUGCCGCGUGAGUGAUGAAGGACUUAGGGUUGUAAAGCUCUUUUAACCGGGAUGAUAAUGACAGUACCGGGAGAAUAAGCUCCGGCUAACUCCGUG
rnacentral:rRNA from 1 species